GMGACCCCAGGUCAGGCGGGACUACCCGCUGAGUUUAAGCAUAUCAAUAAGCGGAGGAAAAGGAAACUA
rnacentral:rRNA from 1 species